UGGCCGGCCAAGACACCCUCUCUCUCUAACUCCUUGUUCAAAAAAAUUCUGCACACUAAUCUUCCCCAAAACCACCCCAAAUCACCUCCAAAUCACACCAAACUUGGAGACCACUUAGCAAACCUCUUGGAGAUUAUAUCUAGCUAAGGAGGAGGGGAGCUUUCACGGUUUCUUGGAGCUUCAAGAGGGCCGAAAAUUCUGACCUUGCAAACCAAAGGAGUAGGUAAUGAUCAACCCUUGGAUUCUUAUCUUUUGGAGAUUAUAUGACAAGAUUAAACUCAUGCAUGCACUUAGUUACUUGAUUAUGGUGUAAGAAUGUGAUUGUGGGCUCUUGGAAUUCCCACACUUGGGUUGUUGUUGCUGAUGUGAUGAUUGAUGGUGAUUAUAUUGUUGGUUUAGUGAUAUUAAUGAUGCAUUAGUGGUGGGUAAUUGGUAGGAACUUCAUUGGGUGUAAGAGGCUAAAAUUUCCGAUUUUGCCCCUGCCAUGUUCGGCCAUUUCCAGGCCAAUUUUUAAUGGUUUAAUGGCUUGAAUUGAAUGUUUGUAGGAUGUAUUAGAUGUGUGAAAAAUUUCAUUGAAAAAUAAUGAGGUUUGAAUGGGCAAAUGAAUUUUUGUUCGAAACCAGCAAAUCUGGAAAACUGAUUCGCGUAUGCUCUGACCAGCAGUAGUAUUUUGGCUAUAACUCUGUCCUCGGAUGUCGAAAUCAUGUGCCGUCAGUGGCGUUUGAAACUAGACAUUCCUAGCUUUAAUUUGGUAUAUAAUGCACGUUCUGAUUCUUUGUGAGCAAGCCGAACCAAAUGUUUUAAGUUCGCUGUCCUGUUACUCUGUUCUUCUGGAAUGAAGUGUUCAGGCAGCAACUUGAUGCCCGAAUUUGAACCAGAUGGGUGCCGAAUUUGGAAACGAUUUCUUCUGUGAUAUUUUAACUCUAUGAAUGCAUUUUCCAACGGCGUAAGCCAUGCUCGAUUUCGAGCUAAUGACUGAGUUGUGACUGAAACAAGUGGACUGCUCUGUUUUGGAAAACCCUAAUCUUUGGACUGGUUUGGAACAAAAUCUUGGAGUGAACUUGUUAGUUGAUGUUUUUGAUAUUAAACACUUACCAAAGGUAUUAUGGAUGUAUCUUAGACCCUUAUUUCACAAAUGAACCAUGUUUGGGUAACUUUCUUGGUUAAACGAUUGGAAUUUGGAAAAUGAAAGUCAAAGGCAGAUUGCCUUAGGAUUUUUCUUGAACUUUGGCUGGCUAAUUAACGACCUGCCGAAGGUAUUUUUCCCCGAAAUUCGAUAGAGAGAUACCUUCCAUAUAGUAUUGAAAUACUGCCAAUUUUGGUGCCGAUUCAAGUUCGUUUCGAUACCCAAUUGAAUUACUAAAGUUAGAGGUUCAAAUCUGGAAAAUUCUCAUCCAGUCUUGAACUUGCUCAACUUCGGGCUACCGUAUCUCGGUGCUCGAAACUCCGAUUCUUGAUCCGCUUGUUUUGUUAUAAACUUCACUUGCAACACUAAUUGAGCUGCAAAAUUCAGAGGCCGGUUUACAACGUGCGAAUCGUGCCGAAUUUUCAAAGUUGGCCAAAAUCCAACUUCAUUCUGCCUUGUGAACCAACCCUGCACCUUCAAGCUCAUUUUUGAGCACUUUCCACUUCGAUUCAUGGAAAAGCAUCUUCUAGGAACUUAUAGUACUUUCUAAGAGGUUUCCAACGGUAUAAAGUUUUCCAAUUUUUGACUUGUACCGAGUGAGUUACGAUUUUUCAAAGAUUCAUAAUAAAGCUGAAAAUUUUCCAAUUUCAAAGAAAUAGAGUUUUUCAAGAACUCUUUACACUUUUGAUAUUAUCUAAACGUUUUGCCCACGAUUUUCAUGAUAAAAACUCAACUAAUAUUAUACUUCAUAAAACGCAAGUUGAAUCUCGAUUUACGAGUAAUUGAGGUUCAUUUUUUGUGAAAUAUUCCUUAGAUCGUACUAAUGUACAAUCUUACUUGAUAAUUGAGAUACUUGAGUAAUUAUCCACCAUUAACUGCCAGGCACACAAGGAGACCUUCAAGAGGAUCUCACCGUGGACACUUGAACUCCAGCGAAUAAUCUUUAUUAAAUUGCUCGGUGAGUGUCAAGUGUGUGAAUCUUUGAUACUUGCUUAAUUGUGGUAAUUAUUAGAGAUUUUAAAAAUAAGGGCGGUGUGUACUUUAUCGCAUCCGUUCUGAUUUCAAAUGAAUGAAUGAAAUGUAUUGAAUGAAUGAAUGAAAUGCAAUGCUAUGUAAUGGUUACAUAUGUCGUUGGAGUGAACCUCCUCGACUUUCAAAUGAAUGGGGGACGCCCAAACUCAUAGGCCGACCUUGAACUCGAGCCAGCAAUGGGCUUGGUCGGGGAUUUGGACGAGCCAUGAGAUACAAAUAAGCUCGACCUAAUAAGAGGUCUUGCUUGGCAUACUCGUUGAGUAUCGCCCAAUAUUGGCCAUUGUGGGCCCUUGGGGUGUACGGUGGACGGAGGGAAGUAAGUGGUGAUCUACGGAAAUAGAAAUACCGACCCGGUUGACAGGAGGGUCAAUGCGGGAAGGUAUACGAAUGACAUCGGCAGAGCGAGUGGAACUUAGCUCCUGAGAGCUACUAUAUCCUUGAAUUGUUUCUGAUUAUUUUUCCUGCUCAAAUGGUACUUUAUUGAAAUAUCACGGUUUUAUUUGAUAAAGUCGAGAUUGCUAUUUGAACAAUGUGCUUGCAUGUGUGUCCUUGGCCUCACGAGCGUUUUGCUCACCCUGUAGAUUUGUUUUCCUUAACAGGACUGGAAAUGGAGUUAACGCGGAGAAAUCUCCUUUUGGAUAUAUUGUGUUUUAGGGUUUCAGGUGUAUUUUGGCUUGACCCCUUUAUGAUUGUACUUUGGAAGUUUAAUGUAUCAUUCGGAUAUCUGUGAUGUAUAUUUUGAAAUUUAAGUUGUAUUAUGAACGCACGACGUGCGGGUGGCAAGCUGAUAGGUACCUUGUGAUGUAACCAUGAGAACUGUCACAGUUGGCAUCAGAGCCAUAUGCUGACAGGUUGGGUAAUGGAUGGAUAUUGUUAAGCAUGAACGUUUCCGCACUAUAUGUAUUCGUAUUAAUUUGAUUUUGGUAUCUAGUAUCGCUUUAAGGUUGAACGUUAUUGCUUGAGUCCUAGCGAGAGCUAGGCAGGCGUUCCGCGGAUACCCUUUGGUGCGCCUUAGGGAGAAGUGGGGCGUCACAAAUAGCAUGUGAAAUCAAAUAGAUAUAUACAUUGGUUUAAAAAAAUUGUUAGUUUUUCACUUAUAUUCAUUUUCUUUUACUCAAAAUUUGAUGAUAAAGAAGACAUUUAAUUCUAAAUAUUAUCGAGUGUUUAUAUCGAAUUAAAUUUGGAUAGAAAAAAUAAACAAAAGAAAAGUAUGAUAAAAAGAAAUAAGUGAUUGGCACUUUCAAAUUUUAAUACAAUCACAAGGUAAGUAAUUCAACUAUUGGUGUUGAAAGUGUCGAGUAGAAAUUUCAAAUUUAAACUAAAAUUUGUUAGCACAAUUAUAGAAUUCGAGUUAGGACCCAUUAAUUAGAUGAUCUUAUUAUACAACUCAAUAAAUAAAUUAUUAUCAAAAGAUAAAUGUCACAAAUAUUGAAUAGGUUCAAAUGGUGAAAUCAUAUAAAUAUAUACAUGAGUUUCUAACAAAAUUAUUAGUUUAAAACCCCUAUAUAUAUCUAUUGAAUAGCAUGUAUAUAACUACAAUUAACAUGUUUAGAUGAAAUUCAAUAGAGAUAAAUUACAUGUCAUUCAUACUAUUCAGGUAAAAUCAAAUAGACGUAUAUGUAGGUUUAUAGAAAAAAAAGCUAUUCGUAUACAUGGUCAAUGAGAGAUGAAAAAAUUCAUUUUAAAAAAUAUGAGGGAUGGAAAAAUUCAUUUUUUGAAAUGUGAGGAACGAAACAACUCAUUUUGUAAAAUGUUAGGGACGAAAAAUUCAUUUUGUGAGAUGUGAGGGACUAUGAAUCAAAUUAUGUAAAAAUUUGAUUUAAUAAUUUAGCCCUUAAAAAUUGAUCACAUGCAAGUCAGUGAUAGAUUCUGGCAAAACUAGUCCAAAACUUAGGUAGGAACCAAAUUUGGUUAAUGUGAAUUUGUAAGGGACGUAAAAUUACACUUUUAAAAGUGAGAGACGAAAAAGUCACCUUGUAAAAUGUGAGAAACGUUUUGAACGAUUUCCCCUUUAAAUAACGAAGAUUGGUUCAGUUUGGAUUAGAUGUUUUUGAGGGUGUUUUUCAAAAGGGUUAAAAACAAAAAAGCCCCCUGUGCUAAACCUAAUACACAACUAAGCCCCUAUGGUUUCAAAAUAUGCAACGCGACACCUCGUGCUUUGAAUUAACUUGUAACACUGACGGAAAUCGGUAAAAUUAACGGGACUGAUGUACUGGAAGCUAAAAACAAAUUCUUUAUACUUAAUUUUUAGCAAAUAUUCCUAUUGUACCCUUAGCCCCCAAUAAAACUCCCUCCCAGCGAUGCUUGUGUAUAGAAUUGAUUUCUACUUGAUGGAGAGAAAUUGAACUAGCCUUUGGGAGAAAUCAAAUUACCACACAGGAGGUUUGAAAGGUAAAGCCAUCCUCUAUAUACGAAGUCAACCUGCGAGGAACUUCUACACAAUCUUGGCUAACAAAUUGCAGCCCAUAAGGUAAAAGCAUUUGAUUUUGGGUUUUGGCUAACAAAUUGUUGUUAUUAGGGUUUAAAGUAAGAAUGUUGGUAACUAAAUUGGGAUUUAUCUACUGAUGAAGGGAAAUGACUGGCUAAAAAAUUUGCUCAUGUCUUCCUGAAGCUCUCGAGGGGAUAGUGGAGCUAGGAAUCUACGGUACCAAUAUAAGCUGUGCGACUGUCGAAGAAAGGCAAAGGUGAAGAUUGUUGAGUCCGAAAAGCCAUCCAAAGGGAUGCUGUACUUUGUUUGUGAAAGGAUGAAUGCAGAUUUUUCUCAUGGUGUAAUCCCAUCUAUAGAGAUGAAACUGGCAGAGGAAACUUUUUUGAGAGGCCAAUGGUUGAAGAACAUUUGUCGUGCUUGAACUCGAAUUCUGAAGUGAAGAACUUGAAUGAUGAAGUGAAGAAUUGAAAGUACUAGUUAGCUAUUGUCUAAUGGUAUCUAUUUUUUCACUUUUGCUUCUGUUGAUGAAAAUGUCUGUAAAAUAAGACAAUGAAGAAGCUUAUGAAUGGAAUGAAGAAAAUCAGGUAGUUUGUUUUGUUCAUGGGAAUGUGCACUUUAUUCUUCUGUUUUUUUCGAAAGAUGUCCUACCUAAAACAAUGAAACAAACAUCUAACUAUUAUAUACACUUGUAAGCAUAUUUGUGCAUUAAAAACAGUUUUGAGCAAUAAGCACACACAAUAACAUCUUCUGCAUUCCAAUUUGAGUAAUAAGUACACAAAGUACAUUAAAAUUUCUAGUCCAUAAACUAUUCCAGAAAUAUAUCCCACCCAACAUUCCAGAAAUAUAUCCCACUAUACAUUCCAGAAACAAUUUCAAAUAGAGUAGACAAAAUACAUCCCACCAAACAAAAACUGCCCAGACAAACAGUACAUGAAAUAUUCCAGCCCAUAAAAACUGCCCAGAAAUAGCUUUUUCUACAAUUGAGAUAUACCAUUGCAGCCCAUAAUCAUAAUGCUCCAUUAAAACAGUCAAUAAGUACAUUAAAGUGUCCAACAUCAGCAACGAAUCCUCCAAAAUUGCUGAAGCCAACAGCAUCCAAUCAAAAUACAUCAAAGUUUCCAGUUUGCAAUAAUUGAUAACAAUUCCAAACAGAGUAGACAAAAUACAUCAGAAACAUACAUUCCAGCUGUUUGCCACCAACUCUAACAGCAACCACUAAUUCCUUAAAACUACACAAAAGGCAAUCAACAAACAUACAUUCCACUUCAAAAUUCAACUCUAACAUCUUCUUGCUUUCUUGGAUCUUAGGUUGUAUAGAACAUCAGCAACAGUAGGACGAAGGGGUCCUUUUGCUAGUGAAGUUGUUCCACUCACAGGCUGCAAUUGAAGUAGAAAAUAUGAAUGUUUGAAGGAAAAAUGCUUCAUUAAAUCUGUGACGCCCAGAAAAAAAGAGUUUGAGAACCCGUAAAACCCUAAUCUUUUCCGAGGGUUUUAUUUCCUUUAAUAGCAUGUUUUCUGCAUUUCCUGGCUUAGGAAAUUUUCCUGAGGAAUUUUUAUGAGUAAUUAUAGUUUUUAGAUGAUUUUUCUAGCCUUGGAGAGUUUUUGGAAAAUUAAGAGUAUAUAAUGGACGUGGGGACCCACUAGUGCGAAAAAGUUCGGAAAAAAUUCGGCCAAUAAGGUUAAGUUUCGGAUACUGUGUAAAAUUUAUCGGGUGUUAAGAGAUAAGUAGAGUGGUGUGAAAUGAUUGAUGUGAGAGGUAAAAGAAAAGAUAAGAUUGCAUUUAUGAUAGUGACAAGUGUCACAAUAUCAUUGGUUUUGACUUAAGAACACUAUUCACUAUUUUGACUUUUGACCCAAUUAAGUAAUAUCUCAAAAAUUCACAAAAAUUACCAUUUUCUUACCUUGUGUUGGCCGGCUCUCUCUCUUGCAAGAAGGAAGGAAGUUCUUCAACAUUUCAAGCUCUCCAAGUGGCUCAAAUCAACCAAACCAAGGGUUUGAAUUAGUUUUUACUCCAUACAAUCUUUCCUUUUAGUGAUAGUGAGUGCUUUAGUGAAGUUUUUGGAAGAGCUAAGGUGUCCAACAUCUUCCCCUCUCUUGUUUACUUGGUAAGUGAAGCUUAAACUUCCACCUACACCUAUUGAUGCUUAAGAUAUGAUUAAGUAGUGAUUAAAGUGCUGAAAUUUCUGGUUUUAUCUUGGUUGAAGUGAUUUGGUGAAGUUUUGAUUUUAUUGAUGAUUUUUCUGGUUUAAUUGGAUUAUGGUGUUGUGGUUGUUUAUGAUGAUUUAUAAUGAGGGGUUAUGACUCUAGUGGAUGGAAAUGAUUGAUAUUUGCAACCAAUUUUGGAUUUGGAAUAAAUUUUGGAAAGAUAGGGUUCAUGAAGCUACAUUCUGCCCGAAUUUAUUUCACCAUGUUAGAGGCCGAAUUGGCCUUGGCUUAAAACAUGAAAGUUGUAGGUAUUGAUGUGUUUGAAGUGCCUGUAAAAUUUCAGGUCAUUUGGACUAGUGUAGAGUGAGAUAUGUCUAUUUUACUGUUGCUGUUCUGGGUUGAUCAGAAUGCGAAAACUGCACUUGUAAUUGGCCAUUUUGACUGGAAUUGCUUUGGAUUUGGAUGUUGGUGUCUUCUGAUGAAAUGUAUCUGGAUGUCGUAGCUUCCAUAUGCCUUUGGAAUCAAUGCAUUUGGACCUGUACAGACCGAGUUAUACCAAUUACAGCAUAGUGGGAUUUGUGAACCUGUUUUAGUGGUUCUGGUUUGGUAUUUUUGGCAUAUUUGACCUAGUUGUGCUAGGAUUUGGAUUGAGUGGCCUUCUACAUUGUUGUAGCCCUGUCUCUUAGCUUCGAAACGGUGGGUCUUGCACCUUCAUCCGACAAUCGUAACGCCUUUGGUACCAUUACCGCAAAAUGACGUCAAAACUGUUUUUCUGGUUUUGAGCUUAACUUUCAUUUCCGGACUCUUCCCUAGCUUGACUUGUACUAGUACUACUUGGAGCUUGCUGAAUGGAUGAUUUCUGAGCCGUGGAGGUGAGUGACCCCAAACUAUUGUUAAAGCUUCUUAUGAACCGUUUCUUGCACUAUUUACUUGAUUGCAUAUCAUGAGUGCUUGCAUGUGGCCAUGACAUGUUUUGGCUUAAAUGAGUGCUUGGAAUUCGUGUGCUGAACACCAACGUCUCCACCUCUGUGUACUGUUCAUCUGGAGCAAAUGGCUCCCCACUGACUGUUUACUGUUAAAUGUUUGUUUGGAGCGUUGGGUGUUUAAGUACAACGAUUUCGCUGGCUCACGAGAGCAAUAAGUGUACAUUUGAUCUUGAAAUCUUGACAUCACUGAAAUGAACGACUGUGAAACUGAAUUGAUUGCUGAUUUUAAUGGUUACUCGCUGAGCUUCUAGCUCACCCAAAAAUAUUUUAUUUCCCCCCCACAGGGCUCAAGGCGAAGAAAAGCUUGGAGUGCUUAUUCGCGGACCGGAUGGCUUAUAUCGUGUACAGUUUAAGUUUGGAUCUAUUUUAUGUAUGAGUUGGUCUUGUGUAAAUAUUUGCAAUUGAUAUGGAUGUAAGUAUACGUUCCACGAUUGGAAUCAGUUUCCGCUGCAUUUGUAAGAUGUAAUCAUUGGAGAAUUUGAUGUAAUUUUGAGAUUUAUAUUGUAAUUGGGUUGAGGACUGUAGUGAGCGACUGAGUCCCGGCGAGAGCUGGGCAGGCGGCCCGCCGAACCCUCUGGUUCGCCUUAGGGGGAGGUGGGGCCGUUACAAGUGGUAUCAGAGCUUAGGCUUCAGAUCUCUGUAGUGUAUCCUAGACUUGAAGUUUAGGAUGCCGGACUGUGGGCUUGGUUUGAAAUAUUAGUGAUUCUUGCGGGUUGGCUUGACUUGAUUAGUACAAGAGGGAAUGUCGAGGACGACAUUCUUUUAAGCAGGGGAGAUUGUGACGCCCCGAAAAAAAAAAUUUGAGAACCCGUAAAAACCCUAAUCUUUUCCGAGGGUUUUAUUUUCUUUAAUAGCAUGUUUUCUGCAUUUCCUGGCUUAGGAAAUUUUCCUGAGGAAUUUUUAUGAGUAAUUAUAGUUUUUAGAUGAUUUUUCUAGCCUUGGAGAGUUUUUGGAAAAUUAAGAGUAUAUAAUGGACGUGGGACCCACUAGUGCGAAAAGUUCGGAAAAAUUCGGCCAAUAAGGUUAAGUUUCGGAUACUGUGUAAAAUUUAUCGGGUGUUAAGAGAUAAGUAGAGUGGGUGAAAUGAUUGAUGUGAGAGGUAAAAGAAAAGAUAAGAUUGCAUUUAUGAUAGUGACAAGUGUCACAAUAUCAUUGGUUUUGACUUAAGAACACUAUUCACUAUUUUGACUUUUGACCCAAUUAAGUAAAUAUCUCAAAAAUUCACAAAAAUUACCAUUUUCUUACCUUGUGUUGGCCGGCUCUCUCUCUUGCAAGAAGGAAGGAAGUUGUUCAACAUUUCAAGCUUCCAAGUGGCUCAAAUCAACCAAACCAAGGGUUUGAAUUAGUUUUUACUCCAUACAAUCUUUCCUUUUAGUGAUAGUGAGUGCUUUAGUGAAGUUUUUUGGAAGAGCUAAGGUGUCCAACAUCUUCCCUCUCUUGUUUACUUGGUAAGUGAAGCUUAAACUUCCACCUACACCUAUUGAUGCUUAAGAUAUGAUUAGUAGUGAUUAAAGUGCUGAAAUUUCUGGUUUUAUCUUGGUUUGAAGUGAUUUGGUGAAGUUUUGAUUUUAUUGAUGAUUUUUCUGGUUUAAUUGGAUUAUGGUGUUGUGGUUGUUUAUGAUGAUUGAUAAUGAGGGGUUAUGACUCUAGUGGAUGGAAAUGAUUGAUAUUUGCAACCAAUUUUGGAUUUGGAAUAAAUUUUGGAAAGAUAGGGUUCAUGAAGCUACAUUCUGCCCGAAUUUAUUGCACCAUGUUAGAGGCCGAAUUGGCCUUGGCUUAAAACAUGAAAGUUGUAGGUAUUGAUGUGUUUGAAGUGCCUGUAAAAUUUCAGGUCAUUUGGACUAGUGUAGAGUGAGAUAUGUCUAUUUUACUGUUGCUGUUCUGGGUUGAUCAGAAUGCGAAAACUGCACUUGUAAUUGGCCAUUUUGACUGGAAUUGCUUUGGAUUUGGAUGUUGGUGUCUUCUGAUGAAAUGUAUCUGGAUGUCGUAGCUUCCAUAUGCCUUUGGAAUCAAUGCAUUUGGACCUGUACAGACCGAGUUAUACCAAUUACAGCAUAGUGGGAUUUGUGAACCUGUUUUAGUGGUUCUGGUUUGGUAUUUUUGGCAUAUUUGACCUAGUUGUGCUAGGAUUUGGAUUGAGUGGCCUUCUACAUUGUUGUAGCCCUGUCUCUUAGCUUCGAAACGGUGGGUCUUGUACCUUCAUCCGACAAUCGUAACGCCUUUGUACCAUUACCGCAAAAUGACGUCAAAACUGUUUUUCUGGUUUUGAGCUUAACCUUCAUUUCCGGACUUUUCCCUAGCUUGACUUGUACUAGUACUACUUGGAGCUUGCUGAAUGGAUGAUUUCUGAGCCGUGGAGGUGAGUGACCCCAAACUAUUGUUAAAGCUUCUUAUGAACCGUUUCUUGCACUAUUUACUUGAUUGCAUAUCAUGAGUGCUUGCAUGUGGCCCAUGACAUGUUUUGGCUUAAAUGAGUGCUUGGAAUUCGUGUGCUGAACACCAACGUCUCCACCUCUGUGUACUGUUCAUCUGGAGCAAAUGGCUCCCCACUGACUGUUUACUGUUAAAUGUUUGUUUGGAGCGUUGGGUGUUUAAGUACAACGAUUUCGCUGGCUCACGAGAGCAAUAAGUGUACAUUUGAUCUUGAAAUCUUGACAUCACUGAAAUGAACGACUGUGAAACUGAAUUGAUUGCUGAUUUUAAUGGUUACUCGCUGAGCUUCUAGCUCACCCCAAAAAUGUUUUAUUUCCCCCCCCACAGGGCUCAAGGCGAAGAAAAGCUUGGAGUGCUUAUUCACGGACCGGAUGGCUUAUAUCAUGUACAGUUUAAGUUUGGAUCUAUUUUAUGUAUGAGUUGGUCUUGUGUAAAUAUUUGCAAUUGAUAUGGAUGUAAGUAUACGUUCCACGAUUGGAAUCAGUUUCCGCUGCACUUGUAAGAUGUAAUCAUUGGAGAAUUUGAUGUAAUUUUGAGAUUUAUAUUGUAAUUGGGUUGAGGACUGUAGUGAGCGACUGAGUCCGGCGAGAGCUGGGCAGGCGGCCCGCCGAACCCUCUGGUUCGCCUUAGGGGGAGAUGGGGCUGUUACAAAAUCACUUUUGCGUUACAUGAAAUCCAACCUGAGAACAUGAUUGUCUAGCAGGCACAUUUUUUGCUACACUCGCAAUUGUUGGCUGCGUAUACUGCUUCCCGGGCCUGCAGUUUUUUUUUUUGAACAGGUGCAACUUGUUCUUGAUUUGGACUGGUUGCGGGGGUACUAUUGGUGAAGGAGCUGAUGAAUGAAGUUCUGAACUUGAUUCAACUACAUUGGUGUCAGGAGCCUAUAAAAAACAAGUUCAUUUUAAUGUUCAAUUAAAAUGAUUUGGGACAGCAAUUAGUCUUAGCCUAUGAAAUCUGUAAGCUGUGUUACCUUGUAGAAUUUAGAGUUGGGAUGAAUGGCAUUCUUGCAGGUCCUUGAAUUGUGUCUUGGCUGAAAACAUCUCUUGUAAGUUACCACAAGACCCUUUCUGGUUGAGACUUGACCCUUUUUAGGCUCGUCGGCUGCCCUUUGCCGGAUCUUUUUGGGUCUGCCAGGCAUUCUUCGAACUGCAGGAGGUUUUGGGGUUGUUCUUCACAUCUCACCCAGUACUUAUUACUUGGGACAGGUGUGAUAGUGUGCUCAUAUGUUUUCAAGUAAUUUUCUCUACUGUAGCAGGCAUGCACAUAAUCAAGCAAAGGCAAUCUACGUGCUCCUAUUGCAGCACAUGCAUGAGCACAAGGAUAACCUGUAAGCUGGAAAUAGCCACAUGUGCAAGUCUUUUCCUUCAGAUCCACCACAACAGAUUUUCUGGGCCCACAAUCAAUUUCAUAUUUGUUCUUGCCAUCCCAUGUGGGAAUACACAGCCUACUGAAUUUCAGAUUCCUAUCAAUCUUCUCUGCAAUGUUAGGACAUAUUUUUCCUUGAAAUUUCUGCAUACCAGUCCUCUUCACUUGAAUCCUUUGCAUGAGCCUUCUUCGAAUCCACUCAAGCAUCCCUAUGACAGGUAGCUCUCUAGCUUCUAAGAUAUAGUUAUUAAAUGACUCACAAAGAUUGUUCACAAGAAUAUCACAUUUGCUACUUUGUCUAAAAUGUGACCUGCUCCAUAAAACACUUGGCACUUUUUGCAGCCAUUCAGCUGCAUCCUUUGAAGCUUUUUCAAGGGAAUUCAUUGCUAAUUUCCAGUCCACUUCAUUCCCAACACUUGCUGCUGCCCAGAACAAGUCCUUCAACUCUUUUCCUUUGAACUUCUGUUUGAAAUUUUGGUACAUAUGCCUCAAGCAAAACCUGUGUUCAGAAUUUGGAAAUAACUCAUUCACUGCAUGGACCAGUCCUUUUUGUCGAUCUGAGAUGAAUGUCCAGGGUAUGUUUUCCACACCAAGUCCCAGAUCAGCCAUUAGUAGUUCCAGAAACCACUUCCAUGAGUCAUACCUCUCUACCUCUACCACUGCUACAGCUAUUGGAACCAUAUUGUCAUUGCCAUCUCUACCAAUUGCUGACAACAACUGACCACCAAAUGCAGAUUUCAAAAAACACCAUCAAGACCAAUUAUUGGUCGACAGCCAUCGAGGAACCCCUGUUUGCAAGCAUAAAGACAGUAAUACAGUCUUUGAAAUGUCCCUUGUGAACCUUCUUCUGCUGUAUCAAGCUUAAUCUUGACAGUGCUACCAGGAUUUGUCUCUCUAAUUGUAGCUGCAUAACUCCAAAGGUGGUGAUAUUGCUCCAUAUCCGUGCCAAGCAUCUCAUCUUUUGCACAUCUCUUUGCUCUGCGUAUCUUGGCAACGGACACGUUAAUCAUUAGAUCUCUUCUAAUAUCAUUCUGAAAUCCUAUUGCAGCACACUGCGGGUCACCUCUUAUCUUGUCUUGGUACUUCACGCUCAAAUACUUGGCUGUUGCAUGCUUGUUGUUGUAAUCUCUAGCACAAACAUGCUGGCCCUUCAAUGAUUUAAUUUGAAAAGUAGUUUCACCUUGGACUGGUGUUGCACGAAUCCUCCAAGAACAGCCCUUUGCACACUUCGCAAUAAUUUUUUUCGAGUAAUUUUUUACCCAAUCAACCUCAUAUCCCUCUCUUACCAACCAUUCGAUCAACACAUAUCUAAAAACUCUGAAAUUGGAAAACUUUUGCCCAACCUUCAACUCAAAAUGUGGCUUGAGAAACUCCACUUCAGGGUUAAAGUCAUGACAUUCUUCAUGGCCUUCAUCAUUAGAUCCGCACUUGUCCAGCAACUCUUCAUCAGAAAUUACUGGUUCUUGCCAAUCCUCUUCGGUGUAUGUGGUGCUCCUUCUGUUGAACUUUCCUCAGCCUUUUUACUGUUCCCUGCUUCAGCUUGUGAUGGAUCUGAGAUGGGUGUUGGUCAGCAGCUUGAGAUGCAGCUUGAGAUGAAUUCUGAAAUGAGAUAUGAGGUGGAAUUUCUCCAAUGCUAUCUGGCCCUGCAGACUGCUUCUUAUUUUUACUAGACUUUUUUUCCUUACUAGUUUCACUUUUGGCAAGGCUCUUGAUAGCCACCUUCUCAGGGAAAGAGAACACGUGAUAAGGCUUAAAAUGAGUGGAAUGUAGUAUGGACCCACCUUCUGGUUUACUACUUCUGUCCACAUCUUUUUUACUUGCGAAAAUGUCCUCAUCCUCUUUUUUUUCCAACCCCUCCUUCAACCAUUCAGGCUCAUCAUCAUCAUCAUCAUCAUCAGUGUUAAAUGGCUUAUUUGGAUUGCAAUUACUAACCCCAUCAUCUUUUUUUUGUACCCCACCAUCUCUGCUGUCUAUUUUGGUGUUAUGUACCCCAUCUGCAUUUUUAAUUGUUGUUGAUGCAUCCAUUGUCGAAUUUGGCUCCAACACAUUGUCCCCACCAUGUUCUAGUGGCUUUUCAAAAGGAUCAUCCCCACUACAGGCAUAUAUUAUCCUUGUUGCCAAACCCCAAUGUGCUUUAUUCAUUAAUUUAACAUCAUCAUGGUCCCUAAUUGGAUGUAGACCACCAUCUAAGUCUACUCCUGGAGCACAAAACCAGAAAGUCACUCUAGUUGCAUCCUCAUCCACUUUUUUAAACAUUCUGCAAAGGCUAACUAUGCAGAUGUGGUCCUCAAGUCUAUUUUUAAAGAUAGCCAUACGGGUUCCUGUGUAGUGGAGGGCAGGAUAUUCUCUAAAUUUUCCAUCAAAAUACAUAUGUAUAUCUACUGUCUCCUCUGACUUGUCUUCUUCUGUUGAAUGUUUCAAGAAAUAUAAUAAAUAUGCUUUAGUCUCCCAACUACUAUGUCUCCAUCAUUGAUAUACAGAAAACCAAAUAAACAUAAAAGCACAAACAGAAAACCAAUUUUAAUAGCAUUCUGGACCACUAAACCAGAGAAGACAGUAACAAUUAUAGAAAUUUUACUUACAAUUCUUUGUUAAAUAUCUUGUUGUAAUAGCAAGUGACUGAGUUGUACUCAAACACACAAACACACACAAACAGAAACAGAUCCUACUCAACACCCCUAAUCAGCAAAAAUUUCCCAUCACAAAUGGAAAUUUCAGAAAUUAUUUGCGUCACCUAGUCAACACCCAAAUCUCAACUUUAAAUCCAAACUUGCAGUCCCAAAUCAGCAAAAAUCUCCCAUCAGAAAUGGACAUUUCAGAAAUUAUUUGCAUGACUCCUAGUUCCAACACCCAAAAUUUUUUAAAAAAAUCUCGGCUUCAAAACUAAAGUCGUAGUCCCAAAACAGCAAAAAUCUUCAUUUUAAAUCCAAAGUACCAGUUUCAAAACUCACAAAAUCAGGAAUUUUCUAAGGUAAACACCCAAAUACGGGUGUAAAUAACAUCAUCAGCCCUCAAAAUCUGAGAUGGGUAACCCUAAAUUGUAAACUAAUUAUAACAUGCAUGAACUGAUUUUAAUUAAUUAUAACAUGAACGAAGUAUAGCAUACAUACCCAUUUGCCUUCGAUUUUCUGGAAUAAAUCUUCGUCUCCUUCGAUUUUCUUACUUGAUUCCGUCUCCUUCGUCUCCUUCGAUUUACUUCCUCUCUCUCUCUCUCUCUCUCUCUCUCUUCGUAGGGUUUGAAGGGAAGAAAUGAGUCCGCUCAAUUGCCUUUUGGGUAUUAUACAAGGGCAUUUUGGUCCUUUCAUCAGUUCCCGUUAAUUUUACCGAUUUCCGUCAGUGUUACAACUUAGUUCAAAGCACGAGGUGUCGCGUUGCAUAUUUUGAAACCAUAGGGGGCUUAGUUGUGUAUUAGGUUUAGCACAGGGGGUUUUUUUUUGUUUUUAACCCAAGCAUUGCGAACGUGAAAAUACAAGUGCUGUACAUAUAUGCUAUUUCUUUCCCUUUUAGACCAAUCAUUUUGACUUUUGUGCUUUCUGAUAAAAAAUUUUCAUUUGUUUUUUGUGGAAAUGCAAAAAAAAAAUUAAUUAUGUAUAAAUCGAAAAAUUUACUAAUUUAAUUAUUGGCACUUUGCUCAUACGUUGGAGGACUGGUAAGAAAGCCGUGAAGAGUUGGUAUUUUUAUUAAUGAAAACUUUUCCCGUAAAUGGCCUGCUCUUUAUGUUUUUCCUUCAUUAUAUUUAAAAAGUAUCAUACUUUUUGUAUUUAUCACGAAUUCACAUAUUGUGACUGUGAAUUAAAAAUUUUUCGAGAUUGUAUUUUCAUUAAUUAGUCUUUUUUUCGUACUAUCGUUAGUUUAAAUGAAAAUUUUAGUUACAUGGUGUUUGGGAGCAACUUCUAAAGUAACUAUAUAAUCCUAAUAAUUUUUAUAAUUGCUUAGUAUAUUUAUGUCAUGGGUAUAUAUUGUUGAUAUGUUGUUAUUAAUUUUAUUAAAUUGUGUGGUAUAUUAGGUGCAGAAAAUUAUAGUUUCACAAUUUUUUAAAUGUAAUAAAGCAGUGGGGAAACAAUGCACAGUGAAUGAAGGAAUUGGAAGGGAAAAAAGGCUGCAUCUGAACAUGUCUUGUUUGGUUUAUCUCCACGCGUGUUACCACUGCAACAUAAUAGUCCGUGAACUCCUCAUUUUAUAAAUACACGUGUCAUGCUUUGAGGAGCUGCUUGCGGUAGGAAGUUCCUACCAUAAAGGUAUCCUUCGGACAGUCAAAGGCUUCAGUCAUGCAUCAAUCAUUCGAGAGUAUAAAAGCUGGUUAUUUGCAAGACUUGUGCAUUAACAAUCGGACAGUCCAAGAUGAUGCAAUGUGAAUUCUUCGUGCAUCCGACUUGUCCCAUAAUAUUUCCUACAAUCAAAGUUGCACAAAUAAACAUUAUCCUUGGUUUGUCAUCAUCAAAACAUCUUGGGCUCCAAUAGAAAGAAUGAGAGUCAAGUCAAGCAAGUCGACAUAAGGUAUUUAAUAGUUGAAAAUAAUAUUUAGAAAGAAAAAAGUAGCCAUAUAUUAAAUAUAUAGUAACAAGUUGUUAUUCCUAAACUAACAAAUAAAAGUUAACGCUUAAGUUAGUAAUAAUCAAAUAACUCAUAAGGGACUCACUAGUUUAUUUAGUAUUUUGCUAUUAUUCUCAAAUUAUUGUUGUUGUCUAAACACUUGAAAUACUUAUGUUUACAUCAUUUAUGCACAUUGUUGUUCAUGUAUAAAGUACGGAUCAUUUCAUUCAUAAAGUUAAAACCUAAAUAACUUAUGUGAAAUUAUUAAUAAAGUUAUUGGAGUACUUAGUUAGAAAGUAUAACCACCAUGUGACAGCCCCACCUCUCCCUUGGGCAAACCCUAGGGUAUCAGCGGACUGCCUGCCUAGCUCUCGCCAGGACUCAGUCGUUCAAAGUACUAAUAUCAUCAAUGAAACGAAUGUAACAUUUGACAAUGCAGGGGAUUGAAACACGAACUCAAACAUGAUCACUAAUCCAACAAUUCAGCUUAGUACAUAUAUCAUCGUAUGCCAACUUACCACGCUUCACUCAAAAUUACAUAAUAUAAAUCACCCUUAAGAAUUUAAGCUUACAAGUCUGCUUAAACGAAAGUUACAACCUCAAAACGCAAGAACGGCAAAAUAAAGCUAAGAAAGCCCUCGAUCAAAUCCCUUCCCGAUCUGUUAAGGAAAACAAAGGGAAUGGGGUGAGCUAAAGCCCAGUGAGGUUCCAGGUAAACAAGUAAACACAUAGCGACAUAAAAUCACAAAAUAGCCAACUAAACACCGUACAGUAAAAUAACAGUUUAAUCACAAUUCAAUUCAAGGAUAUGGGUGGCUUUCAAAAGCCAAAGGUCCACUUGAGCUUGAUCAUAAUUGCCUCCUGUUGACACUCCGUCAACACUUGUAACAGUAUAUAGGUCCGUAGAACACCACUUUCACCAGUCUCCGUCCCCCAAACAACCCCCCACCGGGCCCGCACUCCAUAAACAGUAGUUUGGUAAUACUCGAGUAUACCAGGAAUCCGAGUUUCCAAUGCUCAAGGAUUCCAAUAAAACAGUAUCAAGCCGAGGAUUUUAUCACUGGUGGUGCUGGACAACACAACAAGUAAGCACAACGGCUAUGCUUCACCAGGGACCUCCAGGCAAGAUUCAAUUUCCAGUGAACAGUAAACAGUCCUCAAGGUUUAUCGGCCUUCUCGACCACUCCCUUGCUGGCUCGAUACAACCGACUCACCUAUGAGGUUGGGUACCCAAACAGUAAAGUAGUUGGCGGAAUGUCAUCCACGCAACUUAAGCACGGUCAUGUAUAGCAAUAUCUCAUUUCAUAUUACUUCAUUCAGUAAGUAGAGCCUCAGUGGAAAACAAGGAAGGUCAAGUGCGAUAAAGUACACACUCGCCUCGAUUUUAACUAAAACAGUGUUUGGCUCAAACAAUAGCAAAUCAACGAUUUCAAGUAUGCAAGUAUUCCACAUAACAAGUAGCAAGUAGUGAAACACUCACCUGUCAAGCAAAAGUAGCAAUUGACAUCAAACGUCUCAGUUACGAUCACCUUUGUUGCCCAAACCUAGGUCAACGAGCGAAACCAUUAACAAUUGGAUUCGUUCCUUACUCAAGUAUAGGUUCAUUGAGAGACCAAGUGAGUAGCCUAAGCUACUUAAUCUAUCAUGAAAAUGAGGUCCAAACCAUGGGAAAAGUUGAUAAGGAAACAAGUUUGGUAUGUACAUGAAAGUUCGGCAAAAAGAAGUUUCACCGAAGCUCAAAAGUUUCAUUACGGUUAAACUGUCUCGCCCGACCAGUCUCGGGAAAAUGGUCACUGUUCAUCGUAGGAGAGUCAGAAUUAGGUUCCGUCAAUUGCGUUGGAAACUAGGUUCUUAAGGUUAAAUUUGUCGUGAAGAAACCAUUUCCAAAAUCCCAGCUUAAGUGGCUCAAAAUUAAGAAGCCAAAAGAAAUUUCUGGACUGCCUCGGAUGAACAGUACCGCACGGGCAGCCGACUUCCACGACUUGCCACGGAUUACUCGGGACGAACCAGAACAUGAGCCAGGUACCAUUUUAAAGCUCUAAGAGUCUAUUUUCCAAUGCCACAAACGGAACUCAAUUCAGAUCAGUGAGUAAAACGUUAUAGCCUUUACAACAUCGCUGGACAGAAAGUUUCUGGACCUAGUCCAGUUUUGUCCCUUUGCUUGCAACUCAAAAUUUACUCAACCAAAUUGGCUAAUUUUUUGUAGACAACCUCUACACACAUAACCCAACAUAUAUCACUCACAUUUGUAGCCAAAAUAUGCAUGAAACAUCAGGGCAAAAACCGGACAGCAAGCUGAACAGUUUCGGUCAGCAUCCUUAAUUCUUUCCCAACUUUCACUCUUCUCAUUAUUUUCACCUUUUGCACAUCUCAAGUAUUACAUCUAACCAUAUAAGGUUUUAAAACAUAUCAAUACCUCAUAAACAUAAAUGAAUAAGAGUUGAACAUUUCAUCAAACACUUGGUGUGCAUACUAACAAUUCAUCCACUACUUGUUUAAUUCAAGGGGUUAACUUUCAAUUCCAACCACAACAACUUGCAAUUCAUGAUUAGAGCUUAUAGUAGAUGAUCUAACACAUAAAACCCCCAAAUUAAAGAGUACUUACCUUACUUACAAGGUGCUCAAAUCACCAAAACAAUCCACCAAAAUGAAAGCUUCAAGCUUGGAACAACCACAAGGAUUGGAGGAAAGUUUCUCACUAACUCUAGAUCUUUCUCUUUUGAUUUUUCUCUCAAGCUCACACUAGGUUUAGAAAGCUUUAAAAUGGAGUUUCUCUCCUUCUCUUGGAAGCUAAGAAGGGCACGAAAUUAUGGUGGAGGAAUGGAGCAAAAAUUGGUUUAAAAUUCAUCUAAUCUUUGGUCAAACAAGAUGCAUGGCUAGGAUUUUGCCACUUGGCCUAAUACUUGUACACAACUUCUCUUAAUUCUUUGACUAAUGCCAUUCUUACCUUUCCAAAUGCACCAAUAAUUAUUCAACACCUCUAAUCUCUCACAAAAAGUCUCUACCACUAAUAAAAGAACACUUGGACAAUUACAAGUGGUGAUUUAUUUACAACCUAGCUCGAGGAUAUAUUUUACUUCAAGUAAAAUGAAUUGAAAUGAAAUGCAUGGAAAUUAUUAUAACACGUAGAAAAUAAUUUGUAAGGGCAUUUAUUAAAUGGUCUAGAUCUUAUAAUAAGGCAUGUAAAUAAGAAAAUUGUGUUUUAAAGUGAGGGUCCAUACAAGGGAUUUGUUGUAACACAUUGUGAAAUAUAAUUGUGAGGACUCGCAAAUUUCUUGUAUUUUUCUCAAAAAUUCCCUUUUAUUUGAAAAUUAAUUGGUAACUAUUAUUUCAUGUUAUCCAUGGUUCAAUCACCCUAGAAAAGUGCCAAUAACCAUAGGAAAUUAGGGUUUUCCUAUUCGUUUUCAAUUCAAGGUGAAAUUGGAUUUUUCGUGUAACCGCAGUAUAAUUAUCCGGUACCGAGUAGGGAUCAAAUUUGGUGCUUAAGAGUGACUUUUAAGUGAGAAAUAAUAUGUGAUUAGAAGCAAUGAUAAAAAGUUAGGGAAUAGGGAGUAAAAAACCCUAGUACGUGCGAUUUAAGAGAAAACGCGUCACACCGACGUGUACCGUGUAUUACCAAUUGAACCAUCACUUGACCACCACUUUCUUGCCAUACAAGUUUAACACUAGUAAAGCAAAAUAUCUUCCCCCUCUUGGCUCUCCUAUUGGCCGAAAUUUGUGGCCCAAGUGCAAGGGAUGAAAGAGAAAAUUGUGUGGUUGAGGUUGAGCCAAGUGUUAGCCAAACUUGUGGCUAGAAUUAAUUCUUAUCUUUCCAACCUUCUUAUAAGACAAACUAGGCUUAAUCUUCCUCAUUUCUUCUUCUUCAUGGCCGACCAAAGAGAGAGAGAAAGGGAGAGCAAGUGAAAACAAUUUUCUUCUUGAGCUACACCAACCAAGUGCUAGAAUCGAAUUCUAAACCGAUUAAAGUGUGGGUUGUGAGUUAGGAAGCUUGUGGAACUAAAAAUUUUUCAAAGGAGGUGGAGUAUCACUCAUUCAAGCCUUGCUUUUGAGGUAUAAAUUCUGAUCUUGGUCCUUGUUCAUUUAAUUUUUGGUUAAAGAUGUGAUUUUAUGGAGGAUUAACACUUGAAUGCAUGAAUUUCCAGAUUUGGGUUUUCAUUUCUUCUCUUUCUUCCCGGUUUUAGUACUCUAUGUUAGAGGCCGAAUCAGUUCUUACCCAAAACAUGAAAGUUAUAGAGAAUAAUGUUUUCUAGUUACCUGUAAAAUUUCAACUCAAUCCGAGCUUGGUAGCAUGUGAAAAGUCCAAAAUACCCUUACUGUUUUAAGUAUUUCCUAAGCAGUCCGUGUGAUCAGUUAAGUCCAGUCUAUCCCGUUUUUUUGACUAGGAUUCAUUCUGAUUUAGUGUUUUGCCAAAACAUGAAAGUUGUAUCAUUCUGAAUUAGCUUUCAAAUGCCUCUAAGAACACCUGAUUCGGACUUGUGUACUCUGAGAUAUGUCCAUUACAGUGUUCUGCGUUUAAACAGCCGACGAAUUGGUUUCUGGUUUAGUAAUUCGAGCAUUUGACCAAGUUACAUUAGAAACUGGACUAAGUGACCUUCAUGAACAUUGUAGCCCUGAGUCUUAUCUUCGAAACGGCAUAGGUUGCGUCUUAAUCUGAUAAGCGUAGCCUCAGAUAAGUUAUUUCUGCUUUAUAUGUCAAAUCUGUCUUUUGCUAAAUUGAAUUUCUGCACUUGUUAUUACUGUAUUUCUUAUUCUUAUGAUAUUGUGAGCCUAUGGAACGGCUCUUGACUUGAAUUGCUUAUGUGUGAUGUUGGGUUGUGGUUGAGGAAAAAUAAUGAAGCCGAAAUGGCUGGAAAAUUAGGUAAACACAAAGGGCGUGCUGCCCAAAUUUUCGCUCGAGGGCUAGGUUUCUAUUUGAACUUGUAUACUUUUGUUUAGCCAAUACCAUGACCGGUUUUCCAUUUUAAAACAUGAUUUUUCAUCCUUGGGUUCAAACAACCCUCUUCUUACUUGAAAGUGAUCUUUACACGUUUCAUUCCUAAUUAGUCGGGUUUCUUUGUUUCCCUUAAAUGUUUUGCUCGAUAAACUGUAAUAUGCUCUCUUGUUCAACCAUAGGUUUCAUUGGUGACUAAGAGUAAUAUCCGGAAGGAUAUUUUGCACGUUAUUGUGCGUAAAUAGGUGAGUGUUCUAUAUACGUUUUGUUUCUAUGACUAUGUGGAUUGUUGGAUCUAUGUGAUUAUUUGUGACUAUUUGAUUAAAUGUUACUUGUUUUCUAUGAUUUUUAAAAUGAACUUUUGCUAGGUGAGUGUGUACUUUAUUGCACUCGACCUAAAUAAAUAUGAAAUUUUCGGUGAUUAAAUGUUGAAAUACUAGUUGCGCAUGAAUGUAAGCCUUUUGGCUGAACUGGACCCUUGCUCUUGUUACCGAUCGACUCGAGCCAGAAACGGACUCGGUCGGGCGAUAUGGUGACCUGGGUGAAUUUGGUAUACUCGAGUAUUACCUUGUAGUCCGGCUACGUCCGGAUGGGUGGAGUCCGGCCAAUGUCCGGAUGGGUGGAGUCCGGUCAACGUCCGGAAAAGGGGAUGAACGAACAAAAGGAUGAACGAGGGAUUCUACUUACAAAAAAAUGUAUUUUCAAACGAUUGGAGGAAUAAGGGGAAAUGUCAGGGGAACGAACGAACAAACAAAUAGCUCCUCGUGAGCCUGUAUCAUUUUAAUGAAUGUAUUAUCAUUGCUUUAUAUUGAACAUGUUUUCUGGAUUAAAUGUUAUUACAUGACUAAUGUUCCUUGUUUAAUUACUUGUUUAUAUAUAUAGAACCUCACUGGGCUUUUUAGCUCAUACCACGUCAAUUGUUUUCCUUAGCAGGGGAAGGCGAGCAAGGACGAGCGUUCUGUAUAGUCUAGUUGAUCUAGUUCUUUGGCCUUGUAAUGGUUCUCGCCCUAGUGCUUGGCACGGGCUGGUUGUAUGAGGAAUGAGAACCCUUGUAUAUUCGAUGUUUGUACUUGAAUGGUAAAAAAAAAAAAACUUUGAAGACUUCUGGUGUGUAGAAGUUUCUUAUCUUUUACUUGAGCAUCUAUUGUCUAUGGAUGUAUAUACAUGAUUCGAGUUCCAUAGUGAGUGAGUCCUGGCGAGAGCUGGGCAGGCGACCCGCUGAACCCUGGGGUACGCCCUAGGGGAAGUGGGGCCGUCACAGAUGCUAGGGCAUAUAAGAGGUGGUUUAAAUCUUGGUGCAAGGCAUGUAGUUUGGGGAAAUUGUAUUUUAAAAAUGAGGGUUCUCACACACCAUGAUUCAUGUAUUAUUAUUUUCUAAUUAAAUAACUAUUGCAUAACUGUUGAACUUGUUGAGUGACAAUAAAAACUUAUGGUCAUUUUUAAGUAUCUAGUCACUCAUAAGUUAUUUGACUAAUUCAUGUGAGUUAAGUAAGAGAAUGUAAUACUUGCCUCUUUAAGAGGCUAUUGUAACCCAUAUGAUUGAUUGUAAAAUUAUUGAUAUGCUAAUUAAUUAAUUAACAUGUUGUCAAUGAUUGAUUAGUAUUUCUCAUUUAGUGAUGAUUAAUCUGUAUCUUCUGUUAAUUGAUAUUUUGCUCAAUCAAAUAAUCAAUCAAAUUAAUCAGAUAUAUUAUUUUCAAUCAAAAUUUAUGAUAAGAUUUCCUUUAUGGAAGAAAAUCCUAGGAAUUUUGAUAUUUGUCAGUAAGGGUCUCUAGUUAGGUAUAGAUUAAAAGCUGUCUUACUCUAAAUUCUUCUUCUACAUAUUUUGUUUUGUUAAAAUAGAUAAGAAAGAUGUAAGGAGACAAGGGGGAUUAAUUUGUUUGUAACAAUAAUGGCUGGAGGUAAGUCUAUUUAGUAUAUUCAUAUGCACAUAUUUAGUUUAACAACAACCCCGUGACAUUAAGUGGUUUUAUGCUCUUUUCUAUUCUCUUCCUUUGGGUUUGGAUUCAUUUGAAUUUGAUUGAAAUGGAGUUGGGAAUCUUGGGCUUGAAAGGACUUAGUUUUUUUUUUUUAACUAUAGUUGCCAAAAAGUAUUCAUUGUUAAAGAAAGGAUUAUUCUCAAUUGCAUUCAAUUACGCAGCAUAUACAAACAUAUUGUAUAAGAUGUACAACAUAUCUAUUUCAAUGGUGAAAUAGAAGAUAUUUCUCAUAGAGAUUUGAAUCAACAGAAGGCAUUAUCAAGUAGAAGAUGUUUCAAUUGUUUGUGUAGAGGCAUCUCCAUCUUCAUGCCACAAGAAUUUGUAGCGCAAAAUUUUUUCAUAAUUAAAGUAUAAAAAUCUCAUUUUUUUAAAGAAAUAUAUUUUUCUCACAAUAUUUUAAACUAAAAGAUGAGUACAGAGAUUUAUAACAAUGCAUAAGCUCCAACGUUUUUAUACAAAAUUAAAUUAAAAGGAAAUAUGAUAAGUUAAAUUUUACGACAUGGCUUUUACAUAUGGUGAAAUAAUGCUACAAGAUUUAUCCAAAUAGGUUUACAAUUUUUCUCUAGGUGAUUAGUCACAAUCAAUCUCUUUGACAUAAUUUGACAAUCACAAUGUCUAGCUUUUUCUAUUUUUUAAAAAAAAUUUUAAAUGUAAGUGGAGAGAUUCGAAUUUGGGACCUCUCACUUACAGUCCUUUCCUCCAUAUCACCAACUCAUCCCUCUUCCCAAACUUUGAUAAACAAUAGCUGAGGAAUCUUUGAUUUAGCAACUAAAAUUGAAGUUUCAAGAAUUAGAGAUCCUAGAUUCAAAUCUUUCAAUCCCCUUCCCGCUUCGUAAUCUCACCCCUCCCUUGUUGGGAAUUUUUUUUUAAAAAAAAUUUGGAACCCCCUCCCACUUUGUAAUGUCCCCCCCCCUAUUGGCAAUUUUUUUUAAAUACCUUUGACAAACAAUACAUGUGCAAUGCAAGCGUAUUUUUUCCUAGUUUCAAAGCACUCUAAACGAGACUUUUUAACUUUAUUUUACUCUUUCCCCAUUACUCUCGCGCCAAGUUGUCUUGGUUAUUAAACAUCUUUUUCCCAAAACGCUGAUAAAGAAACAAUACUCCAACAGCUAAUCAAGAAGGAUUUUAGGGGACACACUUGAGAACCGGUGUUGCCUCGAGUUUUCAGGUGCUUCAACUAACAACUUCUGCAUUGCUUCGGAAUAUUUCAAGGUGAGGAUCAUUACACACAUUCACCUAUACUAUUUAUUAUGUGGCCAUAACAGCAUUGCCUGAACCGUUCAAAACAAUUCAGAGUCAAACAAUUCAAAGCUCAAAUCCUGACAUUCUAGUGGUAACAAGAAUACCUUUGACUGGAACCACUACUAAAGGCUUCCCUAACCUUUUGGUCGUACAAAAGUAUUUAUAUGAGAGCAUAACAGCAUUCAGUAUCUCCUAUGCUUCUCAAACUAACCUUUUGCCUAUAAUUGCUAAGCUAAUCCAUCCGCAAUGAGGAAACACAAGAGGUCCAUGAGAAUAAGUUUGGCUGAGGUUGCACCAUCCCCAAUGAUUUCUCACAAAAACCUUCACAUGCUCCUAAACUAGAGACAAUAGCAGAAGAAUGCCCAAAAAGGUUGUAUCAAGGUGUUGGCAAAGGAGCACUUUUCCUUAUUCCUGUAGUUCUUUCUUCUGCAUCAUACUUGUUGAUAAAUAAACAUGCCAUCCUUUGAUGCAAGGCCAGUACUAAUAAUCCUUGCAUCCUUUUACGCCCAGAAAAUGGCCAUAAUUCUUUUGCCAGCCAUAUCUCUCACAGAUUAUCGGCCCCAAGACUCCCAUCUUUGUCUCACUUCAGACCGAGCAAACAAAGAGGUGGUCAACAUAGGUUAAGUUUUUCUUUUUCAUAAAUAAGAGUUGAGCCUGGAAGGUUGGCAAUAUCACCACUGUCCAAACGUUUUGCAGUAUCAACCGCAGCUUUAAUCCGUACCAUACAUGAAGCUGAUUUUAGACAAAGAAGCAAUUGAAACAACAGAACAGACACUGUGAUCCCCGUCAACCUAAGAUGCCAUAUUAUCAAUCUCUCAAUGGUGUCGAUGAAAUCAAAAGUGAUGAGCACAAGCCAUUUCUACAAAACAAAUUAUCCAGAGUCAGGAAAGGAUGUGACCAAAUGGAGAAAAUAAAUUUGUUAGAAUAACAUGCAUGCCCAAAAGAAUUGGCUUAGAAAAGCAGAGACUGUCUAAAGUAGGACUUAUCCUUCAAAAUCCUUUUUGCAUCAUCUGAUUAUUGUUCCCAACGAAACAAUGGAACUGCUUGUUUAGUUUUCAAUGUGAUGAGGUUAUUCCAAAUGUGAGAACCCAUAAUUUUCUUAAUUUCUAGGUUUUAUUUUAUUCUAUUGUACGCUUUUCACAUUUUCUUUAUUCAGAAAAUUUUAACCAUAAAUUUAAUGAGUAAAUAUAGUUCUAAAAUUAUUUUUCUAGUAUUAGUUAGUUUUUGAGAAAUUAAGAGUAUAUACCGGAUAUGGGACCCACUAGUGCGGUAAGUUAGGUAAAAUUCGGCCAAUUAGGUUAAGUUGUGUAUACCGGGUUUAAUUUAUCAGGUGUUAAGAGAUAAUUAGAAGUUACUUAGUUGGAUUAGUGUUGGAUUAACAUGGGAGAGAAAAAGGAUAAGCUUUAAGCCAAAAGGUGACAAGUGUCACCAUUCAAUUCACCCUUGGACUUUGACCUUUUACUCUACCUUUACUUUACCUUUCCUCCUUAUUAAAAAUUCACCAUAAAAUCAUUAUCAUACUCAUCCUCUUGGCCGAGACUUCUUGGAGAGAAAAGAAAAAAAAACACCUUCAACUAGUUGAUCCAAUUUCUUGCACAAAUCUUGUGAUUCAACCAAAAAAUCUCGACUUCACUCCUUAGAACUCCUUUGUUAGGUGGUAGUGACUAAGUUGGUGGAGUGGUUUGGAAAGAGGAGGUGCUAAGUUGUUUGUUUUCUUGAGAUUACAAGGUAAGUUGUUAAGAAUUUUUCCCUUUAGCUUUGAUAAUGUUCAAUUGGUGGCUUUAGUGGUUUAAUAUGAUGACAUAUGGUGUGAUUAUGGUUUGUUUGUGGUUGAAAGUGAAGGUUUGAUGGAUUUUGAUUUAUUAUUGUUAUUUUUCUGUUUUGUAUGAUACUCAUGGUUUGGUCAUGGAUUGAGGGCUUAUUGUAGUGUAAUCUGGAGCGAAUAUAUGCUAGAUACGAUUGGUUGCGGAAAUUUCUGGUUAGCGCAGAAAAUUACAGUUUAGGGUUGUCAAUUUCCCCUGUUCUGCCUGGUACUGUUAGACCUAGUUAGAGGCCGAUUUGGCCUUAGCACAAACAUGAAAGUUGUAGAGAAUGAUGUUUUAUAGUUGCCUACAAAAUUUUAGGUCAAUCCGACCAACGUAUCUCAUGAAAAGACAAAAAUACCCCUGAGACUGCCUUAGGUAGAUUUCAGCAGACAAGUUUGACAAUUCCUUAUGUUGGCUGCGUUGUUUCACCCUGAUCCGUAUCAAACCAGUUUUUGGCCAAAACAUGAAACUUUUAGCCUUAUGUUUCAGCUUUCCAACGCAACUGAAAACACUUUAAACGGAAUGGUGUAGCCUGAGUUAUUGUCUUUUGAAGUUGGUACUGUUGACUGUCCUAGCAGGGACAUUUCAGAUCUGUAAUCUGGAUUUUUGAUCUAGAUACACUACGAACUGGACUGAGUAGUCUUCACCAAAGUUGUAGCCCUCUGUCUUAGCUUCGAAACUGUAAAAGUUUUACCUCAAUCCGAUAAGCGUAGCUUCGGUUGUGUCCGAUACGCUAAGUGUCGUCCAAACUGUUUUUCUGCUUUUAUGACUUAAAUUUCGGUCCCAGGCCUUUGGCUUUGCAUUAGUAGUAUAUGUGUGAGGACUCGCAAAAACUAUUAUUUUAUGCCUAAUUUAUGGCUUAAUAAAUUAUUUAAUUAGAUUUUAUUUCCAAGGAAUAUUUUCUAGUCUUAUUAGACCUAAAUAAGUGGUAAAAUAUCUUCGUUAUAUUUUUUAAAAGGAUUCGUUUCGAAAAUUAAUUUCCUAGAGCGCGUUUAGUAAAAAUAGUGAAUAGUACUUGGAGAUUUUAUCCGCGUAGUAGCACAAUAAGCUUGGAAUAUUGGAGAUUUGUACUAUGGUCCUAAAAUAGGUAAUCUUAUGAAUAAAUAUUCAAGUGAUAGUUAGUAGUGCAAUCGUUAUAAGAAUUUUUCGAAAGUUUCGCGUUAUAGCGUUAAAUUUGACGAUACGCGUUUUCACACGCGCGACUUCAUUUGAGGGACUUUAGACCCUUAUUCCGGGACAAUUAAGAGUGAAUAAUAUUUACAUGAAUAUAUAUGCCUUGGAGGUUUAGUGCACUAGUGAACCAAACGCGCGAGAAAUCGAGUCCAAACGCAUCCUAAUUGCACUAUUUCAAGUUGACUUUGAGAUGUAUUUUUGCACCACACAAUGAAUCUUCCUUAGGAAGCCCCAAUUGAACCAACACUCUCUUCCUCACUUCACUUGGCCGAGCAACAAGAAAGGAGAAGAGCUCUCCAUUGUCUUCAUUUUUCAUCUUCAAUUCAUGCACCAAAAUUCAUCCAAAUCACACCAAACUUGGAGACCACUUAGCAAACCCCUUGGAGAUUAUAUCUAGCUAAGGAAGAGGGGAGCUUUCACGGUUUCUUGGAGCUUCAAGAGGACCGAAAAUUCUGACCUUGCAACCCAAAGGAGUAGGUAAUGAUCAACCCUUGGAUUCUUAUCUUAUGGAGAUUAUAUGACAAGAUUAAGCUCAUGCAUGCACUUAGUUACUUGAUUAUGGUGUAAACAUGUGAUUGUGGGCUCUUGGAAUUCCCACACUUGGGUUGUUGUUGCUGAUUUGAUGAUUGAUGGUGAUUAUAUUGUUGGUUUAGUGGUUAUAAUGAUGCAUUAGUGGUGGGUAAUUAGUAGGAACUUCAUUGGGUGUAAGAAGCUAAAAUUUCCGAUUUUGCCCCUGCCAUGUUCGGCCAUUUCCAGGCCAAUUUUAAUGGUUUAAUUGCUUGAAUUGGAUGUUUGUAGGAUGUAUUAGAUGUGUGAAAAAUUUCAUUGAAAAAUAAUGAGGUUUGAAUGGGCAAAUGAAUUUUUGUUCGAAACCAGCAAAUCUGGAAAACUGAUUCGCGUAUGCUCUGACCAGCAGUAGUAUUUUGGCUAUAACUCUGUCCUCGGAUGUCGAAAUAAUGUGCCGCCGGUGGCGUUUGAAACUAGACAUUCCUAGAUUUAAUUUGGUAUAUAAUGCACUUUCUGAUUCUUUGUGGGUAAGCCGAACCAAAUGUUUUAAGUUCGCUGUCCUGUUACUCUGUUCUUCUGGAAUGAAGUGUUCAGGCAGCAACUUGAUGCCCGAAUUUGAACCAGAUGGGUGCCGAAUUUGGAACGAUUUCUUCUGUAAUAUUUUAACUCUAUGAAUGCAUUUUCCAACGGCAUAAGCCAUGCUUGAUUUCGAGCUAUAAUGACUGAGUUGUGACUGAAGCAAGUGGACUGCUCUGUUUUGCGAAAACCCUAAUCUUUGGACUGGUUUGGAACAAAAUCUUGGAGUGAACUUGUUAGUUGAUGUUCUUGAUAUUAAACACUUACCAAAGGUAUCAUGGGUAUAUCUUAGACCCUUAUUUCACAAAUGAACCAUGGUUGGAUAACUUUCUUGGUUAAACGAUUGGAAUUUUGGAAAAUGAAAGUCAAAGGCAGUUUGCCUUAGGAUUUUUUCUUGAACUUUGGUUGGCUAAUUAACUACCUUGCCGAAGGUAUUAUUCCCCAAAAUUCGAUAAAGGGAUACUUUCCAUAUAGUAUUGAAAUACUGCCAAUUUUGGUACCAAUUCGAGUUCGUUUCGAUACCCCAAUUAAAUUACUAAAGUUAGAGGUUCAAAUCUGGAAAUUCUUCUCCAGUCUUGAAUUUCCCCAACUUCGGGCUAUCUCGUACUCGAAACCCCGAUUCUUGAUCCGCUUGUUUUGUCAUACACUUCACUUGCAACAAUAAUUGAGCUGAAAAUUUCAGAGGCCGGUUUGCAACGUGUGAAUCGUGCCGAAUUUCCAAAGUGGCCGAAAUCCAACUUGAUUCUGCCAUGAAAACCAACCCUGCGUCUUCAAGCUCAAUUUUGACCACUUUCCACUUCAAUUCAUGGAAAAGUGUCUUCUAGGACUUAUAGUACUCUCUAAGAGGGUUCCAACGGUAUAAAGUUUUCCUAUUUUUGACUUAUACCGAGUGAGUUACGAUUUUUCAAAGAUUCAUCAUAAAACUGGAAAAUUUUCCAAUUUCAAAGAAAUAGAGUUUUCGAGAACUCUUUAUUCUUUCGAUAUUUCUUAAAACGUUUUGCUUACGAUUUUCAUGAUAAAAACUCAAAUAAUAAAAAUAAAAGGCAAGUUAAACCUCGAUUUACGUGUAAUUGAGGUUCCUUUUUGCAAAAUAAUUCUUAGAUUGUACUAGUGUACAAUCUUCCUUGAUAAGUGGUUAAUUGUGAUUAUCCACUAUUAAAUUGCCAGCGCGCAAGGAGACCUUCAAGAGGAUCUCACGUGGACACUUGAACUCCCAGAAAAUAAUUCUAUUGAAUUGCUCGGUGAGUGUCAAGUGUGUGAAUUUUGAUACUUGCUUAUUUGUGGUAUUUGUUGAAAGUUUUAAAAAUAAGGGCGGGUCGUACUUUAUCGCACUCGUUCUAAUUUCAAAUGAAUGAAUGAAAUGUAUUGAAUGAAUGAAUGAAAUGCAAUGUUAUCAUGAAAAUGUCGUUGGAGUGAACCUCCUCGACUUUCAAAUGAAUGGGGGACGCCCAAACUCAUAGGCCGUCCUUAGACUCGAGCCAGCAAUGGGCUUGGUCGGGGAUUUGGACGAGCCAUGAGAUACAAAUAAGCUCGACCUAAUAAGAGGUCUUGCUUGGCAUACUCGUUGAGUAUCGCCCAAUAUUGGCCAUUGUGGGCCCUUGGGGUGUACGGUGGACGGAGGGGAAGUAAGUGGUGAUCUACGGAAAUGGAAAUACCGACCCGGUUGACAGGAGGUCAAUGCGGGAAGGUAUACGAAUGACAACGGCAGAUCGAGUGGAACUUAGCUCUUGAGAGCUACUAUAUCCGUGAAUUGUUUCUGAUUAUUUUCCUGUUUGAUUGAUUGAUUAUUGAAAAGACAUGGCUUUAUUUAUUAAAUCUGGAUUGUUAUUUGACUAAGUGCUUGCAUGUGUGUUCUUGGCCUCACGAGCGUUUAGCUCACCCUAUAGUUUUGUUUUCCUUAACAGGACCGACUCUUGGAGAAAUAUGGAGAAACCAUCCGUUGUAAUUUUGUUAAGACUCCUGUUAUAUAUUUUGACUAGGCCCUGGUUUGGGUUGUA
rnacentral:lncRNA from 1 species